GCAGUAUGAAUCCAUAUCAGGUGCAAGAAAGGAGGCCCUGAGGUGGGUGGCUCCAAGCAGCAGUGUCCAGUCAGCCCCUGGAUUCAGAAAUGACCUUGUUACAGCUCUUUGAAGCAUACUUCUCAACAUUGCACUUAAAAAUGGAAAGCUCUUCAUAGCUUGCAUAAGUAAUCACACAUGGAAGUCUUAGACUUUUUGUAUUGUAUUUACAUGCUAUAAGGUAAAUCUCUACAAGUUUAUCAGUAUUCAGAGCAUGCAAGGAAUGCAGCUAUAGGAAGGCCACCUGUCAAGCUGAAAAAAGAACAAGAGCUAUUGGAGAGAGGAUUCUGCAAAGUGACAUUUGCUAAAGUGACAAGAUAGAAAGUGCUCUAUAUCAGCUUAAAAUGAGGGCAGCACCAAAAGAUCUUAGGGACAUGAAACCUUCCAAAGACAUUUCGUGGAUCAAGGAUUGAACUGUAUUGCCUAUCUGAAGACAAACCAU